rnacentral:lncRNA from 10 species
AUAGUUCAAAUUGGAGGGAGCUUGGGCAGAUACCACCUUUUCUUUUAAGGAAUGAAUUUGACUUUUGCUGAUGGAGCCUCUCUGAAGGGCAAAUUCAAAGUACAGCUGGGUGCUGCAGCACUGGAGUGCGAACUUGUGGCUGUGGUUAUGAAGGAGCCUCGUCAGCUAUGCCUUUAGCCCCUGGUGAAGCAGUGCCAGUCACACUUUGCCAGUCAAACGGAGAGGCAGCAGUAGUAAGACCAGACCAAAUCAAACCAAACCAAGCAAACCACGGGGAAUGGAGGAUAUAUUUGGCAUUAAACUCGGGACAAAAGAAGACACAAACUUUAUCUUGUGGUUUGGGUCCUCCAAUCCUCAUAAAAGUGUGGUUUCACCUGUUACCUCAUAAAGGUGCCAUUGCUGUAUGCACAUCUGAAUCUGUUUACAAUUUGAGAAUAGAGAUUAUUGCCUGCUCCUCCAAGCCCUUCACUGUAGAAUGGAAGCCUGUGAUUUUCCUGGCAUCAUGCAUGACUGAGAAGGUCAGUGUGGCUAAUUCUGAGCUUCAACAUCAGGAAACCCGUAGUUCUUCACACUGAGCCGCCUCCUGCAGCACAGUCAUCCUUGGUAAUAAAGCUGA